ensembl:misc_RNA Metazoa_SRP Metazoan signal recognition particle RNA
GCUGGGCGCGGUGGCUCGCGCCUGUAAUCCCAGCACUUUGGGAGGCCGAGGUGGGUGGAUCACCUGAGGUCAGGAGUUUGAGACCACCCUGGCCAACAUGGUGAAACCCCAUCUCUA